rnacentral:rRNA from 1 species
GAUGAACGCUGGCGGCGUGCUUAACACAUGCAAGUCGAGCGAAGCGUUUUAAAGGAAGUUUUCGGAUGGAAUUUAAAAUGACUUAGCGGCGGACGGGUGAGUAACGCGUGGGUAACCUGCCUCAUACAGGGGGAUAACAGUUAGAAAUGACUGCUAAUACCGCAUAAGCGCACAGUGCUGCAUAGCACAGUGUGAAAAACUCCGGUGGUAUGAGAUAGACCCGCGUCUGAUUAGGUAGUUGGUGAGGUAACGGCCCACCAAGCCGACGAUCAGUAGCCGACCUGGGAGGGUGACCGGCCACAUUGGGACUGAGACACGGCCCAAACUCCUACGGGAGGCAGCAGUGGGGAAUAUUGGACAAUGGGGGAAACCCUGAUCCAGCGACGCCGCGUGAGUGAAGAAGUAUUUCGGUAUGUAAAGCUUUAUCAGCAGGGAAGAAAAUGACGGUACCUGACUAAGAAGCCCCGGCUAACUACGUGCCAGCCGCCGCGGUAA